UUGUGGAGCGAUUUGUCUGGUCAAUUCCGAUAAUAAACGAGACUAGCCUACUAAAUAGUUCGAGGACCCCCACAAAGGGGUCCAGCUUAAACUUCUUAGAGGGACAGGUGGCGUUUAGCCACACGAGAUUGAGCAAUAACA
rnacentral:rRNA from 1 species